GAUGAACGCUGGCGGCGUGCCUAACACAUGCAAGUCGAGCGAUCUUCUUCGGAAGAGAGCGGCGGACGGGUGAGUAACGCGUGGGUAACCUGCCUCAUACACAUGGAUAACAUACCGAAAGGUAUGCUAAUACAAGAUGAUAUAGGAGAUUCGCAUGGAUUUCUUAUCAAAGCUCCGGCGGUAUGAGAUGGACCCGCGUCUGAUUAGCUAGUUGGUAAGGUAACGGCUUACCAAGGCGACGAUCAGUAGCCGACCUGAGAGGGUGAUCGGCCACAUUGGAACUGAGACACGGUCCAAACUCCUACGGGGGGCAGCAGUGGGGAAUAUUGCACAAUGGGCGAAAGCCUGAUGCAGCAACGCCGCGUGAGCGAUGAAGGCCUUCGGGUCGUAAAGCUCUGUCCUCAAGGAAGAUAAUGACGGUACUUGAGGAGGAAGCCCCGGCUAACUACGUGCCAGCCGCCGCAGUAAAAC
rnacentral:rRNA from 1 species